rnacentral:rRNA from 1 species
UAGAGUUUGAUCCUGGCUCAGGACGAACGCUGGCGGCGUGCUUAACACAUGCAAGUCGAGCGGUAAGGCCCUUUCGGGGUACACGAGCGGCGAACGGGUGAGUAACACGUGGGUGACCUGCCCUCCACUUCGGGAUAAGCCUGGGAAACUGGGUCUAAUACCGGAUAUGACCAUGGGAUGCAUGUUCUGUGGUGGAAAGUUUUUCGGUGGGGGAUGGGCCCGCGGUCUAUCAGCUUGUUGGUGGGGUGAUGGCCUACCAAGGCGACGACGGAUAGCCGGCCUGAGAGGGUGAUCGGCCACACUGGGACUGAGACACGGCCCAGACUCCUACGGGAGGCAGCAGUGGGGAAUCUUGCGCAAUGGGCGGAAGCCUGACGCAGCAACGCCGCGUGAGGGAUGACGGCCUUCGGGUUGUAAACCUCUUUCGCGAUCGACGAAGCUCCAGUUUUUGCUGGGGUGACGGUAGGUCGAGAAGAAGCACCGGCCAACUACGUGCCAGCAGCCGCGGUAAUACGUAGGGUGCGAGCGUUGUCCGGAAUUAUUGGGCGUAAAGAGCUCGUAGGCGGUGUGUCGCGUCGGCCGUGAAAACCUGGGGCUUAACUCUGGGCGUGCGGUCGAUACGGGCAUCACUAGAGUUCGGCAGGGGAGACUGGAAUUCCUGGUGUAGCGGUGAAAUGCGCAGAUAUCAGGAGGAACACCGGUGGCGAAGGCGGGUCUCUGGGCCGAUACUGACGCUGAGGAGCGAAAGCAUGGGUAGCGAACAGGAUUAGAUACCCUGGUAGUCCAUGCCGUAAACGUUGGGCGCUAGGUGUGGGGUCCAUUCCACGGGUUCCGUGCCGCAGCUAACGCAUUAAGCGCCCCGCCUGGGGAGUACGGCCGCAAGGCUAAAACUCAAAGGAAUUGACGGAAUCG